GUGCCAGCAGCCGCGGUAAUACGGAGGGGGCUAGCGUUGUUCGGAAUUACUGGGCGUAAAGCGCACGUAGGCGGACCAGAAAGUUGGAGGUGAAAUCCCAGGGCUCAACCUUGGAACUGCCUUCAAAACUCCUGGUCUUGAGUUUGAGAGAGGUGAGUGGAAUUCCGAGUGUAGAGGUGAAAUUCGUAGAUAUUCGGAGGAACACCAGUGGCGAAGGCGGCUCACUGGCUCGAUACUGACGCUGAGGUGCGAAAGCGUGGGGAGCAAACAGGAUUAGAUAC
rnacentral:rRNA from 1 species